rnacentral:rRNA from 1 species
GACGAAGGAUGCAAGCGUUAUCCGGAUUCAUUGGGUUUAAAGGGAGCGUAGGCGGCCCUAUAAGUCAGUGGUGAAAUACUCUAGCUUAACUAGAGGGGUGCCAAUGAUACUGCAGGGCUUGAGUACAGAUGAGGUAGGCGGAAUUGACGGUGUAGCGGUGAAAUGCAUAGAUAUCGUCAAGAACACCUAUAGCGAAGGCAGCUUACUGGGCUGUAACUGACGCUGAGGCACGAAAGUGUGGGGAUCAAACAGG